rnacentral:rRNA from 1 species
UAGGGAGGGGGCUAGCGUUGUUCGGAAUUACUGGGCGUAAAGCGCACGUAGGCGGACAUUUAAGUCAGGGGUGAAAUCCCGGGGCUCAACCCCGGCACUGCCUUUGAUACUGAGUGUCUGGAGGUCGAGAGAGGUGAGUGGAAUUCCGAGUGUAGAGGUGAAAUUCGUAGAUAUUCGGAGGAACACCAGUGGCGAAGGCGGCUCACUGGCUCGAAUCUGACGCUGAGGUGCGACAGUGUGGGGAGCAAACAGG